rnacentral:tRNA from 2 species
GGGUCGUUAGCUCAACUGGCAGAGCAGCGGACUUUUAAUCCGCGGGUUCUGGGUUCGAUCCCCAGGCGACCCACCA